rnacentral:rRNA from 1 species
CUACGGGGUGCUCCAGUGAGGAAUAUUGCACAAUGGGGGGAACCCUGAUGCAGCAACGCCGCGUGGAGGAUGACGCAUUUCGGUGUGUAAACUCCUUUUAUAUGUCAAGAAAAUGACGGUAGCAUAUGAAUAAGCACCGGCUAACUCCGUGCCAGCAGCCGCGGUAAUACGGAGGGUGCAAGCGUUACUCGGAAUCACUGGGCGUAAAGGACGCGUAGGCGGGUUGGAAAGUCAGGUGUGAAAUCCUACAGCUUAGCUGUAGAACUGCACUUGAAACUUCUAAUCUAGAGUAUGGGAGGGGGAGAUGGAAUUAGUGGUGUAGGGGUAAAAUCCGUAGAUAUCACUAGGAAUACCUAAAGCGAAGGCGAUCUCCUGGAACAUUACUGACGCUAAGGCGUGAAAGCGUGGGGAGCAAACAGGAUUAAUACCCGCGUAGUC